CCCGCGCGCCCGCGCGGCGGAGGAGAGGUGUUAAGUGUGAUGCUUCCAUAAUACAUUUGGAUGUUGUCAGCUAAGUUCACUUCUGAACUAAGGGGUUCCUCCAAAUGUUGGCUGAAAUUCAUCCCAAGGCUGGUCUGCAAAGUUUACAAUUCAUAAUGGAGCUACUGUACUGGCUAUUGGAAGGAGGAGAUUCUGAAGAUAAGGAGGUAAAACCUGUUUAGAAAUUAAAAAUGAGUUACGAUUUAAAGAAAAUUCAGAUGACUCAUUGUGAGUGCUAGUUCUCUUGUAGGAUGCCACUGGAAAUGUUGAAAUGAAAAAUAUUCAGCCGUCGGUCUUUGAAAUUUCCUGUGAUGUAUUUCAAUCGAGAUGCAAAGAACAUGGAAAAAUCAAAGUGCUCAAGUGGUUUAAAUAUGUUUUGGAUGUUCCUGUUUAUAGACUAUAAUACUUUUCCAAUUAAAAUCCUCAGUUGUCACGCAGAAGAAGGUUAAGCUGUAUUUGAUUGCCAGUUUUACUGAAAAUGCUUAGUAUUUUACAGUAUCACCAAAUAUAUUUUGUUUAGCCAAGGUAUAGGAAAAAUAAAAUAAAUUGUAUAGGUUGACUUUUUUCUAAAAUGUCUUUAUUGGAUAGAAUGAAUGUUUAUACCUGAAAAAAAAAAGGUUC
rnacentral:lncRNA from 1 species